UAAGAAAGAGUUUUGGGUUAAAGUGGUCCUUCAGAUUUUUCACCUCUCAUCUUGGCUCCUAAUCCAAAUGAAGAAAAUUCACUCUUUCUGAUCAUGAAACAUCCUUUGCCAAAGCGAUGAGGUGCAAUGCAAGCUGAACAAAAAAUUAAAGAACUAGUCGAAGGAGAAAAAAAUGACUCGGAGAUACUUUGGGAUUAGAUAUUUGGGGUUCAUUACUACUUAAUUUGCUAAGUGAAAUUUCCCUGGAGGAAAAGCCCAGGGUAGCCCGAAGAUGCCAAAAGCACAAGUGAUCUCGCCGGCCGCUUCCACUCUCUUGACUAAAGGAGGCAGCUGGCCUCUGUGACAGGGUGGAGAUUCAAGGCUGCUGUCACACACCUGCUGAAUUCCUACCGCAAGAAUCUAAACAAAUGAAAAAAGAAAAAACAAAUCAUCCACACCUGUGACUACCAAGCACUCGAGGCUUCUGUGCGGCACCGUGCACACCUGGGAAGCCUGGGCGGUCAGUUGCAGCGCCAGAGGAAGACACCACUGCCAGCCCGUUGAAAAGGAGGCUCAAGUGUCCAGCUCUGUCAGAUCUUGGCCCCUGGUUGCAGACAUCUCUGAGACUUGCUCCUUUGGUCACAUGGACUCAGCAGUGGUCACAGGACUCACACAGUGGUGUGGAGCUGCUCAGUGAAGCAGGCGAUUUCUCUGUAAUGUUUGUUCACCUUCUAUCAGUACAAGCAAAAGUCCCUUUAUAACAAAGGUACUAUGAAAACUCUCUGUUAUACUAAAUUCUUGUUAUAUCAAAUAUCGACUUGAAAGAAAGGACAACCUAACAGGUAGCUGUGGGUAUAUAUUUGCUCCAAACACACAUGAUGUUUUUUAUCAUUCUUUGUCAUGAUGAUGACUGUCUACAUCUUGCUCUCUGUGAUUUUUUUGGCUUGACAAUUCUACUAAUUACCAUGAGAAAAUAUUCUUAAAAAGUAUACAAUAUUUGACCUAACCUCAGUCGGACAUGACUGAAGCGACUUAGCAACAGCAGCAGCAGCAGCUUCAGCCACAUCACAGGAAGUCCAAAAGAUGUAAGAGAGGAAAAAUGAGGAUAGUAUUUGUUUGCUAAAUUUUCAGUAAUUAGCUGAAAUAAUAAUUCAUUUUUAAUUUCUUGAAAGAUACAUAAAAAGGAGGACUUCAUCAAAAUUGUUAUAUGAUUCUAUCAAUGUAAAAAACUUUGAGAAGCUACGAUGCUACAUUAAUAAAAUUUUUAUGUAUUGCUCAAAUGAAACAGUGUACAAUCCUCUCAGUGUCCACACGUCUCCAUAGUAUCAAUUUAUCAUUAUUUGAACAAAGUCUCUCCAUAUUACUACCCUAAACAAACUAGGGAGCAAAGAAGCUUAACCAAGUUUUUUUAUCCUUCUAAGACAGAUCUGAAUCAGCUACUCCUUACUACUUUUCUCUGCUUCCUAAUUUAUCCUUGAGGGAGAAGCUUAGAGAACAGAAAGUCCUAUGCAGUGGUCCCAACUUCUAUGUGUUCUAGAAUAACAAAGCCUUACAAAGAAUCUCUGCCCCUGGACUGACCAAAUCCUGGAGUCAAUUGUCAAGUCUCUUAAAAGAGGAUCUUUCUUGAACAUUUCAUUUUUUGAACCCAUGAGUUUUACUACUGACUUAGCAACAACUGAGGAUGAGA